rnacentral:rRNA from 1 species
CUAACCAUGCAAGUCGAACGGUAACAGGAAGAAGCUUGCUUCUUUGCUGACGAGUGGCGGAAGGGAGAGAAAUGUCUGGGAAACUGCCUGAUGGAGGGGGAUAACUAUUGGAAACGGUAGCUAAUACCGCAUAACGUCGCAAGACCAAAGAGGGGGACCUUCGGGCCUCUUGCCAUCGGAUGUGCCCCGAUGGGAUUAGCUUGUUGGUGGGGUAACGGCUCACCUAGGCGACGAUCCCUAGCUGGUCUGAGAGGAUGACCAGCCACACUGGAACUGAGACACGGUCCAGACUCCUACGGGAGGCAGCAGUGGGGAAUAUUGCUCAAUGGGCGCAAGCCUGAUGCAGCCAUGCCGCGUGUAUGAAGAAGGCCUUCGGGUUGUAAAGUACUUUCAGCGGGGAGGAAGGGAGUAAAGUUAAUACCUUUGCUCAUUGACGUUACCCGCAGAAGAAGCACCGGCUAACUCCGUGCCAGCAGCCGCGGUAAUACGGAGGGUGCAAGCGUUAAUCGGAAUUACUGGGCGUAAAGCGCACGCAGGCGGUUUGUUAAGUCAGAUGUGAAAUCCCCGGGCUCAACCUGGGAACUGCAUCUGAUACUGGCAAGCUUGAGUCUCGUAGAGGGGGGUAGAAUUCCAGGUGUAGCGGUGAAAUGCGUAGAGAUCUGGAGGAAUACCGGUGGCGAAGGCGGCCCCCUGGACGAAGACUGACGCUCAGGUGCGAAAGCGUGGGGAGCAAACAGGAUUAAAUACCCUGGUAGUCCACGUCGUAAACGAUGUCGACUUGGAGGUUGUGCCCUUUAUGCGC